GGGGGUACUUAUCVCUUUCGCUUAGCCACUCAGAUCUCAAUUGAUCCGAACAGCUAGUAACCAUCGUUUUACGGCGKAGACUACCAGGGUAUCUAAUCCKGUUCGCUACCUACGCUUUCGUCCAUCAGCGUCAGUGAAUUGUUAGUGAUCUGCCUUCGCAAUCGGUAUUCUGAGUAAUAUCUAUGCAUUUCACCGCUACACUACUCAUUCUAACCACUUCACAAGCACUCAAGAACAACAGUAUCAAUGGCAAUUCUACRGUUGAGCUGCAGACUUUCACCACUGACUUAUURUCCCGCCUACGGACCCUUUAAACCCAAUGAUUCCGGAUAACGCUUGGAUCCUCCGUAUUACCGCGGCUGCUGGCACGGAGUUAGCCGAUCCUUAUUCUUACAGUACCGUCAACAGBGKACACGUACACCUUUUUCUUCCUGUAUAAAAGCAGUUUACAACCCAUAGGGCAGUCUUCCUGCACGCGGCAUGGCUGGAUCAGGAUUGCUCCCAUUGUCCAAUAUUCCUCACUGCUGCCUCCCGUA
rnacentral:rRNA from 1 species